ACUGAGGCUCUGGAAGGGUGCUCCGGGCUGCCGUGUUUUGGGCAGCCAUGGAGACUGCUGGAAUUGAGUUUUUUUUUUUUUUUAAAGGAUUUUAUUUAUCCACUCAUGAGAGACACAGAGACAGAGGCAGAGACACAGGCAAAGGGAGAAGCAGGCUCUCCACGGGACUUCCAGGAUCCUUGGGAUCACAACCCGAGCCAAAGGCAGACGCUCAACCACUGAGCCACCCAGGCGCCCCUGGAAUUAUUAUGUCUCCAUUCUGUGUACUUGUGAAGAUAUGUGCCUUGCUUGAGUAUUAUGAAUGUCUUCCAGUGAUGACUUUUUGACAUACUUUUGAAACAGGAUGGCCAGAAAAUUUGCCUGAAAGAUGUUUGAGCCUGUGUCAUUCCAUGGAGCCAGGUAAUAAUUAGAGGAAUUUGGGCUAGUAUUAUUUGAACAAGUCUUUCAGAAAUAAUGAGGAAGGAAUCAAGGUCUUGAUGAGUUGCAUGAGUCAGUUCUAUCUUUUUCAGUUUUGCUUUUAUGACAUCCUACUUUAUUAUCGAUCGAUUGAUUUUUAAAGAUUUUAUUUAUUUGAGAGAGAGGAGGAGAGAGAGAGCAUGAGCACGGUGGAGGGGGCAGACAGAGGGGGAGAAGCAGACUCCCUCCUGAGCAAGGAGCCUGACAUGGGCCUCGAUCCCAGAACCUGAGAUCAUGACCUGAGCUUCAUGAAGGCAGAUGCUUAACUGACUGAGCCACCCAGGCGCCUGACAUCCUAUUUUAAAUAGAUGGCAAAUAUUGAUUUGCAGUCCAAUCAAUAUUUAGGAUUAGAUGUCUUCAUUACAAGUUUAGCUCUGACAGGGCG
rnacentral:lncRNA from 1 species